AUGGCGUCGAGGGAUCCGCUGAUCGUGGGGAGGAUCGUCCGCGACGUGGUCGAUUACUUCGACAUGGCGGCGCAGCUCAGGGUGCUUUACAACAACCGCGAGAUCACCAACGGGUUCGAGCUGAGGCCGUCGCAGGUGGAGAACCAGCCGACGGUGCGGAUCACUGGACGCCGCGGAUCAUUCUACACGCUGGUGAUGGUCGACCCUGAUGUACCCAGCCCAACCAACCCUUCCCAACGGGAGUACCUCCAUUGGAUGGUGACAGACAUACCAGACGGAGGUGACGUGAGCCGUGGAACUGAGGUGGUGGCGUACGAGAAGCCGCAGCCGACGGCGGGGAUCCACCGCGUGGCAUUCGUGGUGUUCCGGCAGACGGUGCGGCAGGCCAUCUACGCGCCAGGGUGGCGCUCCAACUUCAUCACCAGGGAUCUGGCCGAGUGCUACGGCCUCGGCGCUCCGGUCGCCGCCGCCUACUUCAACUGCCAGAGGGAGGGUAGCUGCGGUGGCCGGAGGUACCGGUGA
rnacentral:rRNA from 1 species